GGUCGGGACUCCGCAGGGCAGGGUGCUGGCUAACGGCUAGUCGGGGCGACCCGCAGGACAGUGCCACAGAGAACAGACCGCCGAUGGCGGCCCGGCUCGCCGGACCGCACAGGCAAGGGUGAAACGGUGCGGUAAGAGCGCACCAGCGCCCGGGGCGACCCGGGCGGCUCGGUAAACCCCACCCGGAGCAAGGCCAAGACGGGGACGGGUGGCCCGCCCAAUCUCCCCAGGUAGGCCGCGAAGAUGGAUGGCCACCCAGGCGCCUCCGGGCGCUGGACAGAAUCUCGCCUACAGGCCGGCUCACCGU
rnacentral:RNase_P_RNA from 1 species